rnacentral:rRNA from 1 species
GAUGAACGCUGGCGGCGUGCCUAAUACAUGCAAGUCGAGCGAACAGACGAGGAGCUUGCUCCUCUGACGUUAGCGGCGGACGGGUGAGUAACACGUGGAUAACCUACCUAUAAGACUGGGAUAACUUCGGGAAACCGGAGCUAAUACCGGAUAAUAUAUUGAACCGCAUGGUUCAAUAGUGAAAGACGGUUUUGCUGUCACUUAUAGAUGGAUCCGCGCCGCAUUAGCUAGUUGGUAAGGUAACGGCUUACCAAGGCAACGAUGCGUAGCCGACCUGGGAGGGUGAUCGGCCACACUGGAACUGAGACACGGUCCAGACUCCUAUGGGAGGCAGCAGUAGGGAAUCUUCCGCAAUGGGCGAAAGCCUGACGGAGCAACGCCGCGUGAUUGAUGAAGGUCUUCGGAUCGUAAAACUCUGUUAUUAGGGAAGAACAAAUGUGUAAGUAACUAUGCACGUCUUGACGGUACCUAAUCAGAAAGCCACGGCUAACUACGUG